rnacentral:rRNA from 1 species
CGCUGGCGGCGUGCUUAACACAUGCAAGUCGAACGAGGUGAUUGAAAGCUUGCUUUGAGAACCGAGUGGCAAACGGGUGAGUAACGCGUAGACAACCUGCCGCAAAGAUGGGGACAACAGUCCGAAAGGACUGCUAAUACCGAAUGUUGUCAAGCUUCCGCAUGGGAGUUUGAUUAAAGAUGGCCUCUACUUGUAAGCUAUCGCUUUGCGAUGGGUCUGCGUCUGAUUAGCUAGUUGGUGGGGUAACGGCCUACCAAGGCGACGAUCAGUAGCCGGUCUGAGAGGAUGAACGGCCACAUUGGAACUGAGACACGGUCCAGACUCCUACGGGAGGCAGCAGUGGGGAAUCUUCCGCAAUGGGCGAAAGCCUGACGGAGCAACGCCGCGUGAGUGAAGAAAGGGUUUCGGCUCGUAAAGCUCUGUUGAUGGGGACGAAUGUGCGAAAUGCGAAUAGUUUUUCGCAAUGACGGUACCCGUCGAGGAAGCCACGGCUAACUACGUGCCAGCAGCUGC